AUGGGUUUGAAAGAAUUCAUAUUGUAGAUUUCGAUAUCGGUUAUGGCGGGCAAUGGGCCUCCCUUAUGCAAGAGCUUGCCUUGAGAAGUGGUGGCGCACCUACUUUGAAAAUAACUGCAUUAGCCUCACCAUCCACACAUGACCAGCUAGAGCUUGGACUCACCAGAGAAAAUUUGAUCCAUUUUGCUAGUGAAAUCAAUAUGGCAUUUGAGUUUGAAAUUUUAAGCAUUGAUUCUUUAAA
rnacentral:misc_RNA from 1 species